CAAGUCGUCACAUUCGUUUAACAGUCUCAAAGUUAGCGACUAAUCCUAAACAAAAUGCAACUCGCAACUUCUUUCGUCAUCCUUUCAAUGGGACUUAUUGCCGUCAUCUCCUCCGCUGCUGGUCAACUAGUUUACGGAGGUGCAGGAAGUGGUAGCAGCAGCUCGAGCCAAUCUUCCUCGGGAUCACGUUCCAUUGGUCAUGGACAUGGAUUGUAUUAAUUUAAUAUCAAAUAAUAUUUAUAAAAUUUGUCAUCUUCGAUCGAAAUAAUUGGAAAAA